rnacentral:rRNA from 1 species
GGGCGAACCGUUGCGAUCCCUCGCCUUGGGAACUGAGGGUAAUAUGCGAUAGGAUAGGGACGCUGGAACGCGCCCUAUCUUAAAGGCCGCAAGGCGCUCCAGGAUGGGCCUGCGUCUGAUCAGGCUGUUGGUGAGGUAACGGCUCACCAAACCUAUAAUCAGUACGGGCAAUGGGAGUUGGAGCCCGGAGAAGGGGACUGAGACAAGGCCCCUAGCCCUACGGGGUGCAGCAGUCGCGAAAACUACACAAUGCGGGAAACCGUGAUGUGGGGACUCUGAGUGAUUCUGUUUUUACAGAGUCUUUUCCCAGGUGCAAAAAGCCUGGGGAAUAAGGUCUGGGUAGGUCCCGUGCCAGCCGCCGCGGUAAUACGGGCAGACCAAGUGGUAUCCGUGAAUAUUGGGCUUAAAGCGCUCGUAGCCGGUCUCAUAAGUCUUUUGUGAAAGCCUGUGGCUCAACUGCAGGAGGCGCAAAAGAUACUGCGAGGCUUGGAGGCGGGAGAGGCAAGAGGUACUUUCGGGGUAGCGGUAAAAUGCUGUAAUCCUGAAAGGACCACCAGUAGCGAAGGCGUCUUGCUAGAACGCGCUCGACGGUGAGGGGCGAAGGCUAGGGGAGCGAACCGGAUUAGAUACCCGAGUAGUCCUGGCCGUAAACGCUGUGAGCUAGGUGUGGCUGAUCCCACGCGGAUCGGCCGUGUCGAAAUGAAGAUGCCAAGCUCACCGCCUGGGAAGUACGGUCGCAAGACUGAAACUUUAAGGAAUUGGCGGGGGAGCAC